AUUGCUUGCUACAGCCACCUGUUGUCUUUGGACCUUUCCUUGGAUGGGCCUGCUCUCUCUUGCUUUCAGUCAUUCCGGGACCAGAGAGACCCCCUCCAUUGCCUCUUUCCUCAUGAAAACCCUUCUGUGAAGCUCAAGCCCUGUCGUGGUCCUGCUUACCAACUCUGUCUCCUCACUGUUCUCAGUGACCUGUGGUAGCUCUAAGGUGUGCUCACCAGAGUCCCCAGAGUGAGUCACAUUCCCAUGAGUUUAAAGGUCUUGUACUGAGUUAGUCUCCCCACCCCCAUCAUCUGGGUACACCCAGCGUACACAGGUGGGUCUAUAGAAGAGCAGUGUAAGAGCUAAGUGAUGACGUGACAGCACUGGUGGGGCAGUGGGGGUGACCCAAGCCCAGUCAUUGGAGCAGGCUCCUCCCUCAAAGCUUCGGUGAACAAGCAGCUCUUCUACCCUCAUAGUACUUCCAUUCCAGGGGUGUGCUGGCGGGGUGUGUGUUUGUUUUGUUUUUGUCUGCUUGACACAAACUAGAGACUCUUGGGAAAAGGGAACCCCCAACUGAGAAUUGCCUCUGAUAGAUGGGCGUAUCUUUGAGGUUGAUUAAUAAUUGGUGUGAGAGGGUCUAGCCUCCGGCCCUCUGUGAGCACUGCUAUCCUCGGGCAUAUAUGUAUUCUUGGAUUAUGUAAGAAAGCAGGCUCACCAAGCCACAGAAAGCAAAACAGCAAGCAGCAUGCCCCUGCUUCAGUUCCUGCCUCCAGGUUCCUGUCCUGAGUUCCCUUGAUGAUGGACUGUGACUGUAAGCUGAAAUAAACCCCCUUCCUCCUC
rnacentral:lncRNA from 1 species